rnacentral:tRNA from 9 species
GGCCUCUUCGUCUAUCGGCUAGGACGCAGCCCUCUCAAGGCUGAAAGAUGGGUUCGACUCCCAUAGGGGCCG